rnacentral:lncRNA from 1 species
AUUGAGGAUUUGGUUUCAACAUGAACUUGGAGAGGACACAAACAUUCAGACUCUAGAAAGCCUUACUCAACAUUUGAAAAUUGAACUUGAUCCUUUGGGCAACAGGAAGGAACAUGAUGAGAUAAAGACUUUAGAAUGAUAAUCCGAGGUUAGAGGACAUGAGAAAAAUGCCUAAUGCAGCACAGGAUACAGAUUCUCCAAAAAACUUUAAUUGACCUUUCAACUUCCCUUUCUCCCUUAAAGAAAGCAGGGCUCUGAAUCCCCAAGACAAAGUGCAUCCAGUAUUAUAUACUGAGAAGAGAAAAUGAACCAAGAAUAAGGUUCUACCAUGGUGUUGAUAUCAGUACAGUAUCCACAGAUGGGAGAAAAAAAUUCAUCUGCCAACCAUGGCUGUCAGAACUGCAAGCAUGGGGUUAACUCACUGUCCUUCACAAAUACCCUGCCCCAUACCAACCUGGCCUGUCUUUCCAUCGCAAGAGUGACGGUCAAAUAUGGCUGAACAGGAGCAAUUUCAUAUGAAUUACUUCUUAGAUUAACUGAGCAAACAAGAUUGCAACUUGCUAAAAGCCAAAGUACUUCCACUUCCUUCAAAAGCAACCACUUAUGACUGAUUUCUGCUCAUUAAGCCAGACUCUCGGAAGAUCUCUCCUUGGCAAUACUUUACUAGUUUAAAGGAGCCACUGGCAAAAUAUACUUCAAAGUAAGCUUCCCUGGAUUGGUCUUCCACAAUGCAGCUGUCUCACUGAUUCAUCCUGGCCCCUGCCCACUCCUGUCCAUGGGGAUUAUCAAACUUUCACCAUAAUUUCCUUAUAUAGUAUUUCCACAAGGGAAAUCCAUCAUCUGUCUCAAACGAUGAGUCAUCUAUCUAUAUUCACCCAAGAGCACUCCCCAUAUACCAUUCAUCUGCAAGUUGAGCCCAAUGUGGGCCUGGGCAGGUGUUCCAAAGCAUUUAGAAAGUCUUUGAAGUUCUCCUACAGAGGCUGCUUUCUGAUACAGUGUCUGAAAAACUUGCCUGGCAUCUCACUAGGGGGCUUCUUUGGUCCUCUGAUACCACAGCCACAUCGAUGAGAGCACUGCACACAUCCAAAACCGGAGAAAAGCAGGAGAGAGAGAGAAGCAACAUUAUACUGCUCACGGAAGCUCAGAGGGAGUAGAGAGCCUGCCUACAACUAAAAUGUCAUGUUAAAGGAGCUGUGACAAAAAAAACUACUUGAAAAUCUAGCAAUGUGCAUUUACAUCAUAGAACUACAUCUCUAUGGAAAAGCAUUCCAGUUUCAAGUUUUAUAAAACAGGAAACCAGAUGAAUCCCAAGAAGAAGAGGAGGAGCUUCAGAGAGGGGACAUGCUUUUCUCAAGAUGGGGAAACUGAGGCCCACAGCAACAAUAAUAACUGUGGGGAUGAUAUCAUUUAAUAUUGAAAAUAAGUGGAUAAUUGAGACCUCCAUUAUUAGUAGUUAAUUUUUAAAAAUCAAAGAUCUCUCCUAAUUAGCUUUAUGGAGCAAAUAAAUAUAUUUUCCAUAUUCAAAAAAAAAAAAAAAA